AUCACAAUUUCGGGGACAUUCGAUUUCGAACGAUACAGAGAAAAUUAGCAUGGCCCUUGCGCAAGGAUGACACGCACAAAUCGAGAAAUGGUAUCAGAGCAU